rnacentral:misc_RNA from 1 species
GAUGAAGAACGUAGCGAAAUGCGAUAAGUAAUGUGAAUUGCAGAAUUCAGUGAAUCAUCGAAUCUUUGAACGCACAUUGCGCCCCCUGGUAUUCCGGGGGGCAUGCCUGUCCGAGCGUCAUUACAACCCUCAAGCUCAGCUUGGUGUUGGGCCCCGCCGCCCCGGCGGGCCCUAAAGUCAGUGGCGGUGCCGUCCGGCUCCGAGCGUAGUAAUUCUUCUCGCUCUGGAGGUCCGGUCGUGUGCUCGCCAGCAACCCCCAAUUUUUUUCAGGUUGACCUCUGAUCAGGUAGGGAUACCCGCUGAACUUAAGCAUAUCAAUAAGCGGAGGA